CAGUAGCCGCGGUAAUACGUAGGUGGCAAGCGUUGUCCGGAAUUAUUGGGCGUAAAGGGCUCGCAGGCGGUUUCUUAAGUCUGAUGUGAAAGCCCCCGGCUCAACCGGGGAGGGUCAUUGGAAAUUGGGAAACUUGAGUGCAGAAGAGGAGAGUGGAAUUCCACGUGUAGCGGUGAAAUGCGUAGAGAUGUGGAGGAACACCAGUGGCGAAGGCGACUCUCUGGUCUGUAACUGACGCUGAGGAGCGAAAGCGUGGGGAGCGAACAGGAUUAGAUACCCCCGUAGUCCCUGUCUCUUAUAC
rnacentral:rRNA from 1 species